GAUAUACAAUAUAUCAUUUUCUAUUUUUCAGAAGAUCAAAAGGAAUUUUCUAAUAGAAACCAUAUGUAUGAUAAGCAAUGAUGAUAGCCUUUAACAGAAAUCAUUUAAGUAGAUGACUAUCAUACAACAUUGUCUUUUUCAUUUCUUCAAGGAUUCUAUCAACCCUAUUUUAUUUAUGGUGUUCUUGGUGUAGAAACAAUUGUAUUCAAUAUUAUUUUCUGUGCACAACUUAAUAAGAAAUUGGUUUUCAAAACUAUGCCAUGAUACAAUUUUAUUUUCAUAGUUUACAAACCUUUUUCAUUUGAAACCUUUUGUAAGUUUGUGCCAAAGCAGAAAAUAUUUCAAUUUAA
rnacentral:lncRNA from 1 species